rnacentral:rRNA from 1 species
CGAACGGGUGAGUAAUACAUCGGAACGUGCCCAGACGUGGGGGAUAACGAGGCGAAAGCUUUGCUAAUACCGCAUACGAUCUAAGGAUGAAAGCAGGGGACCGCAAGGCCUUGCGCGUUUGGAGCGGCCGAUGGCAGAUUAGGUAGUUGGUGGGAUAAAAGCUUACCAAGCCGACGAUCUGUAGCUGGUCUGAGAGGACGACCAGCCACACUGGGACUGAGACACGGCCCAG